CGAUGGACGGUCGGGUGCAGCUGAUAAAGGCCCUCCUGGCCUUGCCGAUCCGGCCUGCGACGCGUCGCUGGAGGAACCCGAUUCCCUUUCCCGAGACGUUUGACGGCGAUACCGACCGACUCCCGGAGUUCAUCGUGCAGACGGGCUCCUACAUGUUCGUGGACGAGAACACGUUCUCCAGCGACGCCCUGAAGCUGCAAGCUGGGCUCCUGUUACACACUGGACAGACCACCCACUGCCGCCGCUGCCAAGCCCUCUCCUCCCCACCAGACUUCCAGACGACUACAUCAUUCUGCCCACAGACCUGCGCUGCCACAGCCAUCGCCAUCCAUCGCAUCCCACCGACAGACUGCUGCUCCUAGUGAUCUGGACUCACCUCGGAGGUAUCUGGGCUGGCCACAGUCCCUGGACAGUGAUCCAGACAGCUGGCCGCCCCCCAAGGGAUCUGUCACCUUCAGCGAGACCUAUUUCCUCCCCACCCCCAGAAACCUCUUGUGUUCUUGCCUAGGCCCAGGUGUGCCUGGCAGCCAAAUCGAGUCUCUCAUUUUCUCUUGUGGACCAGUUAGUUUUGCCCAUAA
rnacentral:sRNA from 1 species